rnacentral:lncRNA from 1 species
AUGAAUGAAGACACAGUGGAAUUGGUGUCUUACUUGAUGACCUCGCCUUUAAGCAGUGGGAUGAUGUGGGCUGCUCAAAGCAAAUUUACACAGGCUGGAACAAUUUGUAUCAAGAGACAGAAGAAUAUUCAAUUCAGAAUUGACCUUAGAGCAGAGGUAACCCGUUUCUCAAGAGGUUUAGAACAAAGCUACCCCAAUACUGACAGCGGCUGUGAAAAUACUCCAUAGAAGUAGGUAACUUCUUGGCUCUCUUAGCAUUGGUGAGAUUUCAUAUUACUUAAUUUACUCUUAUAUGGUUCAUUAAAAACAACCUCAUGAAUUUGGUUCACAAACACUGAAAAUAGAUAAAGCACACACAGGUAUGAGGUGGUGUCAAUCAAAUUCAAAGAGUGGUCCAUAGUCUGUGGUCCAGCAUCUCUCUGAGUGUCCUGAACUUACCAGUCUCCAAAAUGGGUAGUAUAUGAAGGAAUAAUUUAGUAGAAUAUGAUAGAAAAAAGGUACACGAUCCAUCUCUGGUCCAGAUAUAUGUUGUAUCUCUGAUACUUUUUAUGAGAUACAGUAUGUGUGCUUUCAUCAGCUGGAUGCUAAACAGACAAAUAGACUGAAACAGUUAGGAAGGCUCAGUAAAUCUUCCCAACUUGGAACAUUCCAUCAGUUCCAGAAAACUGGUAUAGUAAUACUUCAUCAGGUGCAGCUGGUGGAUUUGGCAAACUGAUCUUGUCUUUAACAAAACAAAGGUUAUAUCUUUUACCGUGUCAUCUGGAGACAGAUCUUUCAUCACCUUUUGUCUGGCACUAACACAUCACUUAUGUAGUGCAAAAGGAAAAAAUGAAUCAGGUUCUUCAAAAUCCAUUAUUUAAAUUGAUGUUUUGUUCAGGAAAGACAAUAUGAGCUUAAAAACAGCGUUGGAAAGAUGUUGAAAGUUUUUACCCAAACUUCAAAGAAAAGAACAAUGUACACUAUUAUAAAUUCAGCAAUAGAUCUUUGAAAGAAUUAUUGAAAUGGAGAAUAAAAGCUCUGACCUAAAGGAUACA